AAAUUGAAGAGUUUGAUCAUGGCUCAGAUUGAACGCUGGCGGCAGGCCUAACACAUGCAAGUCGAGCGGUAGCACAGAGAGCUUGCUCUCGGGUGACGAGCGGCGGACGGGUGAGUAAUGUCUGGGAAACUGCCUGAUGGAGGGGGAUAACUACUGGAAACGGUAGCUAAUACCGCAUAACGUCGCAAGACCAAAGUGGGGGACCUUCGGGCCUCAUGCCAUCAGAUGUGCCCAGAUGGGAUUAGCUAGUAGGUGGGGUAACGGCUCACCUAGGCGACGAUCCCUAGCUGGUCUGAGAGGAUGACCAGCCACACUGGAACUGAGACACGGUCCAGACUCCUACGGGAGGCAGCAGUGGGGAAUAUUGCACAAUGGGCGCAAGCCUGAUGCAGCCAUGCCGCGUGUGUGAAGAAGGCCUUCGGGUUGUAAAGCACUUUCAGCGGGGAGGAAGGCGAUAAGGUUAAUAACCUUGUCGAUUGACGUUACCCGCAGAAGAAGCACCGGCUAACUCCGUGCCAGCAGCCGCGGUAAUACGGAGGGUGCAAGCGUUAAUCGGAAUUACUGGGCGUAAAGCGCACGCAGGCGGUCUGUCAAGUCGGAUGUGAAAUCCCCGGGCUCAACCUGGGAACUGCAUUCGAAACUGGCAGGCUAGAGUCUUGUAGAGGGGGGUAGAAUUCCAGGUGUAGCGGUGAAAUGCGUAGAGAUCUGGAGGAAUACCGGUGGCGAAGGCGGCCCCCUGGACAAAGACUGACGCUCAGGUGCGAAAGCGUGGGGAGCAAACAGGAUUAGAUACCCUGGUAGUCCACGCCGUAAACGAUGUCGAUUUGGAGGUUGUGCCCUUGAGGCGUGGCUUCCGGAGCUAACGCGUUAAAUCGACCGCCUGGGGAGUACGGCCGCAAGGUUAAAACUCAAAUGAAUUGACGGGGGCCCGCACAAGCGGUGGAGCAUGUGGUUUAAUUCGAUGCAACGCGAAGAACCUUACCUGGUCUUGACAUCCACAGAACUUAGCAGAGAUGCUUUGGUGCCUUCGGGAACUGUGAGACAGGUGCUGCAUGGCUGUCGUCAGCUCGUGUUGUGAAAUGUUGGGUUAAGUCCCGCAACGAGCGCAACCCUUAUCCUUUGUUGCCAGCGGUUCGGCCGGGAACUCAAAGGAGACUGCCAGUGAUAAACUGGAGGAAGGUGGGGAUGACGUCAAGUCAUCAUGGCCCUUACGACCAGGGCUACACACGUGCUACAAUGGCAUAUACAAAGAGAAGCGACCUCGCGAGAGCAAGCGGACCUCAUAAAGUAUGUCGUAGUCCGGAUUGGAGUCUGCAACUCGACUCCAUGAAGUCGGAAUCGCUAGUAAUCGUAGAUCAGAAUGCUACGGUGAAUACGUUCCCGGGCCUUGUACACACCGCCCGUCACACCAUGGGAGUGGGUUGCAAAAGAAGUAGGUAGCUUAACCUUCGGGAGGGCGCUUACCACUUUGUGAUUCAUGACUGGGGUGAAGUCGUAACAAGGUAACCGUAGGGGAACCUGCGGUUGGAUCACCUCCUUA
rnacentral:rRNA from 3 species